AGAAGACUUAAGAAGGAUAAGGGCUUUUGGGCUUAAAAACUAAACUAAUCAAAGUCGUACGAGCACGUAACGCCACCAAAUGCCAUUAAACCCACCAGAAAACCACCACGCGUCCUCUUCCCGCUUUUUACAGUUCUUGUGAGGUUGGGACUGGGGACUUGAGAACCGAAAAUUUAUAACCCAACACGAAGUUUGGAUUUUUCCUGGAACAUUGGCGGAGAAAUCUCUAGUUUCUGUCCGUUCUUCAAGAAGAUCUGGAAAUUCAAUUCGAAUUCUCAUCUGUCGUCGCCAUUUCCUCUUUUGGUUCAACCCUUUUGAUCGAUUUCAAAGCUUUGAUGAAAUUAUUGGUCUUUUUGGAGUUUGUUUUUGGUGAAAAGCAUCGAAAUUGAUACAUAAAUUUGAUGUCUUUGGUUGAAAAGGAGAUAUCAAGCGUUGUUGGCGGCAGUGGUGGUGGUGGCUGUGUGGUGGGCGAUGAUGGCGACGACGAUGACGAGGAAUGCGGCGGCAGUGGUAGUGGUAGUGGUGGGUCGCACGGAAGAUGCAGAUGCAGUGAGGAGAAGGCAAAGAAGCAGAGAGGGUUUAGUGGUGGUGGGUUGUCGAGAAAUUUCCGAAAGGCGAAGCAGGUGGUCCUGCAUCCGUUUGGAAGAUCCAAAAAGCAGCUUCCCAGAAAAGCCAAGCCAAGGGCUUCCGCUUCUGGUUCUGCUUCUGGAUCUUCCUAUUUUGCGCCGUCUCGUGCUUUUUCUUCAGGUAAGAGGUUUGGAGGAGGUGGCGGUGAUGGUGGUGGUAAUAAAGGUUGUUACUUUUGUUUCACGCAAUCCCCAACUCUGGAUUCCCCAAGGGGGUCUCAGACCAGUGACCCUGAGCACCCAAAUUUUACUUUUGGGAUGUUGAGAGCUUUUGUUGAGAGCAAUGGAUUUUAUUCCAAAGAUUGCAAUCCCCACUUAGAUAUUGAUGUUUCCUCAUAUAAAAUGGAUUGAAUUUGAAGGAUAUUAUUAUCAAUUUUUGCACUUUUUUGGUGUUUUUGCUGUGUGGAAGUGAUGACCAUUAAGAAUUUUCUCGAACUGAACUGGGGAGGAUUCCGAAUUUUGAUACCGAUGGCAAGGGUGUUUGAAUUUUUUUUGAAAUUAAAAGCCUUUUGAUCUCGGUGUCAUGAUAGUUUCCGUGCUUUUUGGCGGUUUUGAUGGUGCACAUUGGUUUUAAGAAUAUAUGCUUUUAGGACAGCUUCUAUGCAGCAGAUGGAGAAACCAAGCUUUGAUUUGAUUUCAAGAACAUAUUCUUGUCUUUUUGUCGUGUGAUUACAAAUCUAAGCCUAUAGUACAUAUGGGAAACCGCAUUCGUCUUGCAUUGCUUCCUGAAGAAAUGGGGUGUACAUUUGAAAGACGAGGAGUGUAUUUUGAUCAACUGUAGGAGUGGAAGAGGCGUCUUGGAUGAGAUAUUGCGGUCAUGCUGUUGAGCAUCUACGGUAUACCCUUUUCUACCUUUAUUCCGUUUUCACUUGACUUUGGUCAUCUGAGUGGACUUCUUGUAUUCUGUUUUGAAUCUCUUUUUUUUUUUUUUUCCGGUGUAACGAUGAGGUGUUGAGCCAGAUGUUUUACAAGUUCAUGCAUUAUUUUGCUAUAAUCUUUUCAGAAUACCUAGAUGUUUUUACAUACAAAUUAGGCUAGCAGCUGCCAAUUUGUAGUAGAUAAUUGUCUGGAAAGGAAACCAGUAUAAUCCUGCUUUUGCCUCUUA